rnacentral:lncRNA from 1 species
GUCCGGUUUUUGUUCUAUCUCUUUUAGUGUUUCGGUAAUAAUACAUCCUUGGCUUACAAAUGUUUGGCCUUAAGUAAGAAGUUCAUGAACAUUAAGGAUCAGAAUUCCCUUGUCCUGAGCAUUUCGAAAACAAAAAAUUGUAAAAAUGACCUUAUCAAUUAUAAUUCAUGUAGAAAAUGAUGUGCUGACAGCUGGAAUAUUUUCGGGGAGGUAUCAUGCACCCCCC